GGAUUAAGAGCUUGCUCUUAUGAAGUUAGCGGCGGACGGGUGAGUAACACGUGGGUAACCUGCCCAUAAGACUGGGAUAACUCCGGGAAACCGGGGCUAAUACCGGAUAACAUUUUGAACCGCAUGGUUCGAAAUUGAAAGGCGGCUUCGGCUGUCACUUAUGGAUGGACCCGCGUCGCAUUAGCUAGUUGGUGAGGUAACGGCUCACCAAGGCAACGAUGCGUAGCCGACCUGAGAGGGUGAUCGGCCACACUGGGACUGAGACACGGCCCAGACUCCUACGGGAGGCAGCAGUAGGGAAUCUUCCGCAAUGGACGAAAGUCUGACGGAGCAACGCCGCGUGAGUGAUGAAGGCUUUCGGGUCGUAAAACUCUGUUGUUAGGGAAGAACAAGUGCUAGUUGAAUAAGCUGGCACCUUGACGGUACCUAACCAGAAAGCCACGGCUAACUACGUGCCAGCAGCCGCGGUAAUACGUAGGUGGCAAGCGUUAUCCGGAAUUAUUGGGCGUAAAGCGCGCGCAGGUGGUUUCUUAAGUCUGAUGUGAAAGCCCACGGCUCAACCGUGGAGGGUCAUUGGAAACUGGGAGACUUGAGUGCAGAAGAGGAAAGUGGAAUUCCAUGUGUAGCGGUGAAAUGCGUAGAGAUAUGGAGGAACACCAGUGGCGAAGGCGACUUUCUGGUCUGUAACUGACACUGAGGC
rnacentral:rRNA from 1 species